AUUGAACGCUGGCGGCAGGCCUAACACAUGCAAGUCGAGCGGAUGAAGGGAGCUUUCUCUUGUAUUCAGCGGCGGACGGGUGAGUAAUGACUAGGAAUCUGCCUGGUAGUGAUGGAUAACGUCGCUAAAUGGGCGCUAAUACCGCAUACGUUAUGAUUUAGAAAGUGUGGGAUCUUUAGACCUCACGCUAUCAGAUGAGCCUAGGUCGGAUAAGCUAGUUGGUGAGGUAAAGGCCUACCAAGGCGACGAUCCGUAACUGGUCUGAGAGGAUGACCAGUCACACUGGAACUGAGACACGGUCCAGACUCCUACGGGAGGCAGCAGUGGGGAAUAUUCGACAAUGGGCGAAAGCCUGAUGCAGCCAUGCCGCGUGUGUGAAGAAGGUCUUCGGAUUGUAAAGCACUUUUAGUUGGGAAGAACGGAAGUAAGUGAAAACAUUGCUGUUUUGACGGUACCAAAAGAAUAAGCCCCGGCUAACUACGUG
rnacentral:rRNA from 1 species